rnacentral:rRNA from 1 species
UGAGGAAUAUUGCGCAAUGGGGGAAACCCUGACGCAGCAACGCCGCGUGAAGGAUGAAGGUUCUUGGAUCGUAAACUUCUUUUCUGAGGGAAGAGUAAGGACGGUACCUCAGGAAUAAGUCACGGCUAACUACGUGCCAGCAGCCGCGGUAACACGUAGGUGGCGAGCGUUAUCCGGAUUUACUGGGCGUAAAGGGCACGCAGGCGGUUAAUCAAGUUCGGCGUGAAAUCUCCCGGCUUAACUGGGAGCGGUCGUUGAAAACUGAUUAACUUGAGUCAAUGAGAGGGGUGCGGAAUUCCGGGUGUAGUGGUGGAAUGCGUAGAUAUCCGGAGGAACACCAGUGGCGAAAGCGGCACCCUGGCAUUGUACUGACGCUCAUGUGCGAAAGCGUGGGUAGCGAACGGGAUUAGAUACCCCCGUAGUCC